GGAUUAGGCAUGCAAGUCGCACGAGAAAGGUUUCUUCGGAAGCCGAGUACAGUGGCGAACGGGUGAGUAAUGCAUAGACAACUCGCCCUUGAGAUGGGGACAACGCCUCGAAAGGGGUGCUAAUACCCAAUGCCGCCUUGGGCCCGCGGGUCCAGGGUGAAAGGAGGCCUCUGAUUCAAGCUUCCGCUCAAGGAGAGGUUUAUGUCCUAUUAGCUAGUUGGCGGGGUAACGGCCCUCCAAGGCUGCGAUGGGUAGCCGACCUGAGAGGGUGACCGGCCACAUUGGGACUGAGACACUGCCCAGACUCCUACGGGAGGCUGCAGUCGAGAAUCUUCCGCAAUGCGCGCAAGCGUGACGGAGCGACGCCGCGUGGGUGAUGAAGGCCUUCGGGUUGUAAAACCCUGUCAGCUACUACGAAACACGGGCGAUGAACAAUCGUCCCGUCUGACUUAAGUAGCAGAGGAAGCACCGGCUAACUACGUGCCAGCAGCCGCGGUAAUACGUAGGGUGCAAACGUUGUUCGGAAUCACUGGGCAUAAAGGGCGCGUAGGCGGUCUGAUAAGUCAGGUGUGAAAUCCCUCGGCCUAACCGAGGAACUGCAUUUGAUACUGUCGGGCUAGAGUACAGGAGGGGAGAGUGGAAUUCCUGGUGGAGCGGUGAAAUGCGUAGAUAUCAGGAGGAACGCCGGCGGCGAAAGCGACUCUCUGGCCUGUUACUGACGCUGAGGCGCGAAAGCUAGGGGAGCAAACGGGAUUAGAUACCCCGGUAGUCCUAGCCCUAAACGAUGGGCACUAAGUAGAGGGGUUUU
rnacentral:rRNA from 1 species